AUUAAACGCUGGCGGCAUGCCUUACACAUGCAAGUCGAACGGUAGCGCGGGGCAACCUGGCGACGAGUGGCGAACGGGUGAGUAAAGCAUCGGAACGUGCCCUGGAAUGGGGGAUAACGUAGCGAAAGUUACGCUAGUACCGCAUAUUCUGUGAGCAGGAAAGCAGGGGAUCGCAAGACCUUGCGUUCUGGGAGCGGCCGAUGUCGGAUUAGCUAGUUGGUGGGGUAAAAGCCUACCAAGGCGACGAUCCGUAGCGGGUCUGAGAGGAUGAUCCGCCACACUGGGACUGAGACACGGCCCAGACUCCUACGGGAGGCAGCAGUGGGGAAUUUUGGACAAUGGGCGGAAGCCUGAUCCAGCCAUGCCGCGUGAGUGAAGAAGGCCUUC
rnacentral:rRNA from 1 species